AUGACACCCCUAGGGGCGUAAACACCUUUUAUGAGGGAAGAAGUUCUGACGGUACCUCAUGAAUAAGGACCGGCUAAUUACGUGCCAGCAGCCGCGGUAAUACGUAAGGUCCAAGCGUUAACCGGAAUUAUUGGGCGUAAAGCGUCCGCAGGCGGUUUGAUAAGUUGAUUAUGAAAUACCGGAGCUCAACUUCGGUGCUGUAGUCAAAACUAUUAAACUAGAGAUAUGGAGAGGUGCGUGGAAUUGUGCAAGUAGGGGUAAAAUCCGUAGAUAUGCAUAGGAACACCAAAAGCGAAGGCAGCGCACUGGCCAUUAUCUGACGCUCAGGGACGAAAGCGUGGGGAGCGAAAGGGAUUAGAUACCCCUGUAGUC
rnacentral:rRNA from 1 species